rnacentral:rRNA from 1 species
AUUGAACGCUGGCGGCAGGCCUAACACAUGCAAGUCGAACGAGUGGCGGACGGGUGAGUAAUGUCUGGGACACUGCCUGAUGGAGGGGGAUAACUACUGGAAACGUUAGCUAAUACCGCAUACCAUCAGAUGUGCCCAGAUGGGAUUAGCUAUUUGGGGGGGUAACGGCUAACCAGGGCGACGAUCCCUAGCUGGUCUGAGAGGAGGACCAGCCACACUGGAACUGAUACACGGUCCAGACGCCUACGGGAGGCAGCAGUGGGGAAUAUUGCACAAUGGGCGAAAGCCUGAUGCAGCCAUGCCGCGGGUAUGAAGAAGGCCUUCGGGUUGUAAAGUACUUUCAGCGGGGAGGCGUUACCCGCAGAAGAAGCACCGGCUAACUCCGUGCCAGCAGCCGCGGUAAUUC